rnacentral:lncRNA from 1 species
UCUGUGUGUUCUAAUCUUCUUAUCACUUCAAGAGAAAGAGAAAUACAGAAAGAGAGAUGAUAUACUGAGAAACAGAGAGAUCAAGAAAAUCAUUAUAUUUUAGUGCUAUUGGUAGUAAGAAACUGAAGUAAAGAUAAUUGGUGUGUCAUGGCAUUAAUCAAUAAAAUGCAAGGAAUAUUACCACUGAGGACCAACCUAGCUUCCAGAGACUAAAUCACCAACCAAAGAGCAUACAUGGGCUGGUCUGUGGACUCCAGCAAAUAUGUAGCAGAGGACUGCCUUGCCUUGACUCAGUGGGAGAAGGUGUGCCUGAUCUUGUAGAAACUUGAUGACCCAGGGAAGGGGAAUGCUGGUAGCAGUGAGGUGGGUGUGGGUGGGUAGAGAGAGC